AUGUUACGUGCGGGUGAAUUGAGGGCGCGGAUGAACUUUAUUAUAAAGGUUGCACAAUGCAUUGGGUGGACAGGCUCAAUGCUUCGUCUGCAGGCUACCCUGACAAUGAUUGUUUCGUUGUCGACCGGGUGCGGUUUCAGCAUCGUUUCUUGCUACUACAGGAUCAAAGUCGUUGUAGGCUGGGAGGCAAUAAAUACUAUCAGGCCCGUUCAUGGUGUGUUGGGUUCGGCCCAGUUACAAGACAGAGGCAGAGGAGAUGAAUACAAGAAGUCGAGAAGACACCCUUCUCUCUGUUUCUAA
rnacentral:rRNA from 1 species